UUUCUGUAGCAAUACAGGAAGUGGGCGCACGGCGCACGGGUGCGUAACACGUGGGCAAUCUGCCCUCGGAUGGGGGAUAACUCGCCGAAAGGCGAGCUAAUACCGCAUGACAUUCCGGAGACCUCGGUCUUUGGAUUCAAAGGUCGCAAGAUCGUCUGAGGAGGAGCCCGCGCCCGAUUAGCUAGUUGGUGAGGUAACGGCUCACCAAGGCUUUGAUCGGUAGCCGGUCUGAGAGGAUGGCCGGCCACACUGGAACUGAGACACGGUCCAGACUCCUACGGGAGGCAGCAGUGGGGAAUAUUGCGCAAUGGGCGAAAGCCUGACGCAGCGACGCCGCGUGGGGGAUGAAGCUUCUCGGAGUGUAAACCCCUUUCGACCCGGACGAAUGACCCGCAAGGGUUUGACGGUACGGGUAUAAGAAGCCCCGGCUAACUACGUGCCAGCAGCCGCGGUAAUACGUAGGGGGCCAGCGUUGCUCGGAAUUACUGGGCGUAAAGGGUUCGUAGGCGGUGCGGCAAGUUGGGAGUGAAAUCUCUGGGCUUAACCCAGAGGCUGCUUUCAAAACUGCCGUGCUCGAGUGCGAGAGAGGUCAGUGGAAUUGCAGGUGUAGCGGUGAAAUGCGUAGAUAUCUGCAGGAACACCCGUGGCGAAGGCGGCUGACUGGAUCGCAACUGACGCUGAGGAACGAAAGCUAGGGGAGCAAACAGGAUUAGAUACCCUGGUAGUCCUAGCCCUAAACGAUCAGGACUUGGGGUGGCCCGCGUAGGCGGGUCGUCCCGUAGCUAACGCGUUAAGUCCUGC
rnacentral:rRNA from 1 species